UUAAGACAGGCUCGUCUUAUUUAUCGUCAUCGCUCACUGCAGUGUGCUUGUUUAUUUAAAAGCAGGAUAAGUCAUUAUCCAAGGCGCUAUCAGGCAGUUCCAGCUUGAUGUGGUGUGUGGGUGUGAGUGUGUGGGAAACACAGAAAUACGUUAUGUAUGUGUGUGUGCAUGUGAGCAUAUAUAUGCGUGUAUGUAUAUGUAUGUGUAUAUGUACAUGUGUAUGUGUAUAUGUGUGUGUAUACAUAUAUGUGUGUGUAUAGUAGUUUUACUUAGUAACAAAAUUAGAAAGUAAUCUCCAUUCCCAUAGGGGAGACAUGCCCUAUCAUGGGGGCAUUUGAGGUCACCUCCAUUACUAUGGACGUGGAGGCUGUUGAGCUAACUUGGAUUGGAGGAAAGGUACAUUAGCCAUAAAGUGUUUCAAGACUUUAAUGAUGAGCCAAAUCUUAGAAAAUUAUAUUUAAUAAAUAUAUGUAACAUUCUGUAUUUAAGUUUCCCCCUUUACAAAGAAAGAGCCCACAUUUUAGGAUUUCAUAUCUCAAGGAUGAAAUUUUCCUGAAUGCAGUCAAUACUUGGAAGAUUUUUUUCAAGUUCUGAGCAUUACAGUGCACGUGAGGUAUGUGUAAACCAGACUCAGAUUGAUUAGGAUAGUGAGGGGGAAAAAGCCAUAUUGAUUCAGCAAACACUGAACUCAUAUGUCCUGAGUAUCAGAGAACAUAAUCAUGACAAGAUAAUUUUGAGAUAAAUAGGUUGCUUAGCUUGGAGCAGUCUAGAGAUCUAUGGUAGCUGAUUUAAAAUACAGCAUUUGGAAGGCCGAUUGGAAGAUUUAUUUUGUGUAGUCCAAAAGACAACUAGGACUAAAUUAGUGAAAGUUAUUUGGAGAUGGAGUUCACCUUCAGUAUAAAGAGGUUUUAGGAAAGGUUUUUUUUUUUUUCUUUUUUUAAUUAAAGAAAACUUUAAAACAGAUAGGGUACCUUGGGAGAUAGCUCUUCUCAGUGAUUAAAAAAAUAAAUCUGGAGGAGAUAGAUUUACAUGGGGAAAGUAGGUGACUGUUCCAACUCUAGAGAGUCUUUGAAUUAUGGACGGAGAUAGUUGCUCUGUUGACAAAUGGAUUGCGAAAUUUUAACAUUUUAGACGCUAAAGAGUUUGAUAGAAUGUAACUGAAUAGAAAGUGUGGUAACUGAAGAAUAGAUAUUAAAAAGAAACAUCUAAACAUUGAAGCCACAUAAAAGUAACAAAAUGAAAAUACUGUUUCAAAUCAAGUGUUUAUAAACAUCAAAGCCUUUCGAUACUAUCAGUUUAUUCUAAUAGAAUUGCAGCAAUUAUGUAAAAAUCAACUUUUCCUCUUUACUAUUUUUUAUUUAAGUACUUUACAUAUUUCAAGGUAUUCCUCAUCUUGUUCUAACAACUAUAUAAUCUUUAGAUUAACAUCACAAUAGGCCUACACAUUCCCCUGCAGCUGGAAAUUUGGAAUGUUUAUAUAAAUGUGUUUUUUGUUCAUAAUGUUCAGUGGUAAGUAGCCCUAUACCAAUAUCAAUUGUUAUUUUUUUUCUCUUUUAAAUUAUACCCUUAGAUGUAUUCACUAAAACGAUAAUACCAGGUUCAAAGAAUAUCAUUUUCUGGCAUUUGUUCCCAUUUGCCAGUUUACCUUUUUAAUAAUUUACAUAAAGUAACUGCUGAAUUUUUAACAGUCAGGAAAAAGAAAUGUCCCCUUACUCCCACCCAAUCUAAUGUUUUAUUAGUUUCAAUUUUCGGUAAAUAAAAUGUAGUUGAAGCAGAUUAGAAAGUAUGAUAUGUGAUUUAGUGGCUAGAAGAUUUAAAGUGUUUUUUUUUUCUUGAUGAUCUCUACUGUCAACAAAUAUUUAAUUCCUAUUAAAGACAUUAAAGAAACAACCCAAACCGUUCCCCCCUUAAAUCAAUAGUAUGUAUUAACUUCCUCCUUAAAGCUGUUAAUUUUUUUUUUCUUUUAACGCCUACAGCCCCUGGUCUUCCUAGGUGGUCUCUCAUCCAAGUACUAACCAGUCUUGACCCUGCUUAGCUUCCGAGAUCAGACGAGAUCAGGCGUGUUCAGGGUGGCAUGGCCAUAAACAAAGCUGUUAAAUUUUUAAUGUGAGGACUGAUUCUCAGAAAUAAUGACAACUCUGGUACAUAUCUUAAUAGCACAUAUUUAACUUAAGUGUCAUUAAAAUACAUCUACAAUUUAGUUCUCAUUGUAUUGUUUAUUUGUUUAGGAAACAUUAACAUGUUUAUAAUAACUGCUUUAUGAAAAAAAGAUAAUCUGUUUCACACUGGACAAUGAUAAUGUAGCAGUUGAAGAAUCUAUUUUGAAGCACUAUAGAAGAAAAACAACCAAUUUCCACUCUUGAGUCUCUCCUUCAAGAUAGAUUGUAAUAGCUAAUGACAUUUGGCUCUCUUGAACGAUCUACUUAAGAAACCAUACUUAGACUUUGUUGAAAGAAAAACCUGGAAGAUAACUUUGUAGCAAUUGUUUAAAAAGUCUAGGAGACCAAAGAUAUUUUCAUUUUCUAUCAUGACAAUGAGAGCUAAAAAAGUUAUAGUUCACAUUGUUAUUGCCAGUUUUUCCUUCCCUAUUUAGAGCCAGCAAAUUUUUUUUAAAGCAGUUGAUUCUCAUGAUGACUCUGCAUUCUUAGUAAACACUCAGAGAUCCUUAAUUACUGUAGAAUAUUUAUAGAUAGUACAAUAUUUAUCUGUUAGAAAGAACUUAUCUGUUUUGGUUUAGGUAACAUUUUUAAGAGUGAGGCUUUUGAGAUAAGUUAGUACCAUUCUGCCCUUUGGGAGUGUAGUGUAUUCUAAUACUUUGACCUUUCAAAAAGCUCUCCUUGUCAUAUGAACUUUUAAAAUAGAACAACAAAAAAAUCUUCCUAAAGUCAGAAUUUCAUUACUUCUAGAUUUAAAAGCUAGCUGUGAAACUCUGAAUAUAGUAGUAGUUCUCCACUUGAACUAGUUUGCGUCUUUGAAAUGUAAUGAUUUUCCUUCUAAAGACAAACAAUAUUUUCCCCAGAGAAACACAGAUAUGCCAGAGUUGACAGCUUUAAGGGCAUUAGCUCUAUUUAUCCAGAAAGGGCCAAUUUUGAACAGAGAAUUUAGAAGUGGAACAGAGUUGAAAAUAUAUUCACAAAAAGAUGUACAAGCUUGUUCAUAGCACACUUAUUUACAAUAGCCCAAGCCGAAAGGAACCCGAUUAUACCAACAGGAAAAUGGAUAAACAAAUUACAGUAUAUUUAUAGAGUGGAAUACUAGUUAGCAAUAAAAAGGGAUGAAUUACUGAUCCACUAGAUGAAUCUCAAAAACUUUAUGUUGAAUGAAAAAAGCUUUGGGAGAGGAAUUAGUGGUGGGGGAUAGACUAGAAAGGGUCAAGAGAAUACUUUCUGGGGUGGUAGAAAUAUUUUACAUAUUUUUACACAUUUUCAGUGGAGGCUACAGGGUUGUAUUUAACUGUCACAACCCAGAGCUAAACACCUAAGAUCUGUUUAUCAUAUUGUAUUUAAAUUGUACCUUAUUUAUUUGUAAAGAAAUGGAACCAAAGGUGAGUUUUCUCAAUAGGAAAGUAAAAUAAAUCAUUAAGUUCAGACUACAGAAUUACAUUUAUUAACAUGUAAAUAAUAAAGAUUAUUUCUGGAAGAUGGAAGAAUUUUAUAAAACUUUUUUUGAGAAGUUGGGAAAAUAUUUACAUAGUUACUAUAAGUUGUAAAAGUUUUCCUCUCUUCCUAUUUAGACCAACUAUAUGUAAAAGUCAAAUAUUUAAAGAUUAUACUAGCCUUUGUAGAGAACAGUUUUGAUCUCAUUAAAACAUUUUCUUCCAUAUAACUACUUGGCAGUUUAAAAUUGCUCAAGUCAUCAAGUAUUUAUUGAGCCCUUACUAUGGGCCAGGCAAUGUUCUAGAUACUGUGACACUGUUCUGUUCAUAAUAGUGAAUGGAAAAAAGAUUUAAAAAUUAAUCAUUAAUUUCAUUUUAUUGGUCCUUUGGUCUUGAAUAGUCUGUAUUAGGUUUGAAGUGAUAAUCGUAAAGCCGUCCAUUGAAAUUAUUUUACUUUCAUCUUUCUACAGAUCAGAAAAAUAAAUUGUGUCUUGCCUAUAAAUGACACCUAAGAAAAUGUUAUAAAAUGAUCAACAACCAAUUACCAAUAUUAUUUUUAUGGUAUUAUAUACAACCUUUUGAAAAAGAAAAAAAUCUGUCCUAGUUCCUUAGAAAAUAAUUUCUCAUUGAGAUCCAAGUGUGUUAAUAUGCACUUUCAAAAAUGUUUUUAUCAUUGUAUUUGUUUAUAUAUCUUGAUCAGCAAUGGUGUGAUAGAUGGCCUAUCUAUGUAAAAGGUUGAAUCAGCCCCCUCUUAAUUCUAUUUCUUCUAAGAAAAUUCUUUUAACAGUGUCUGCUUUCAGAAAAUUGGUGUUAAAAUUGCUUGCUACUCAAGUUGUUUUGAAACGUUCUUUUCUGUUUAGAUUUUGUUUUUCUGAUGGCACCAGUUCUUUCACUCUGUCGUCUUAGUCUUAUUGUUUAUCUUAAUAGUGGGAAAUAAAAUAUUAUAAAAUGAAUAUUAGAACCCUGCUCUGUAUUAGUGUGGUCUGAUUUUUUUUUUUUUUUUAAUUAGAGGUGAUAAAAAAAAUUGGAAACAGGAAAACUUCACUGAUAGAGGAAGAAGGUCUAUCCAGAAGUGAAAAUAUUGAACUAAGGGAAAAAUUUUAAGGAAAUUCAAUCCUUUUACAUUCUAACAAGUAAAUAAAAUGUUACCUUACUGGGCACCUUUUUAAUGGAUUGAACGUUGAGGUCAGCCAGUUCCAUCUUUGACUUAACUACAGUCAAAAUGCAUCUCUUUCUUUCUCCAAACCCUGAUCUUCAUUCAUAUUUUUAAGUUCAAAUCGUGGCUUAUCUUCAAAAACCCUUGUUACUUGAGGCACCUUCUUGUCCUAAGUGAAACAAAGCUCUCUCUAAGGAAAGCACUUCCCCUGUGGCUCUCUCAGUGGUGUCUUUCCCCCUCCCCCUACACCUCCCCCUGUCCCCCUUGUCUUUAUGGGAUGAGGGAGCAGAUGCAGUUUGCAUCUUUCAGGCUCCGCAGAGCUACUUCCACCCUGGAAUUGUUUCACUAUCUUUCAAAGAAAACUCUUCUGCCAUCCAUCAGUAUCCCUUUUUGCUGUUACCUGUUGAACUUUAGUCUCUCCCUUACAUUUUUUAAGAAUGCUAAAACCUCAUAUUUCCCUCUUUUUCCUAUAAUACUGCACUGCACUUUCUUUUUCUGUUUAAUUCUGCCCUUCUUAUAUUCUGUUUUGUUUGUUUGUUUUGUUUUAUUUCAUUUUGUUUUUAAAUUAGAGGCCAUUACCACCAUACAUCCAGAUGAUGAAACCAGAAUUAUGGGAAUCAUGAAGGAUCUCCACUGCCACCAUUUACCUCAUGCUUCAUACUUAGUCACCAAAUCCUAGUAAUUUGACUGAGUUAGUGGUUCUUAAGUUUAAAAGCCAAAGAAACCUGACUCUAUAUGAAAAUCUGGAUUUAUACAACAGAUAAACUGAAUUAGUUAUUUAUCUGAAAUCCUGCUCUGUGCUAGGCACUGUACUAAGCUUAUGGAAGACUCAACUUUAUGAAUAGAUAACAGCAGUGUGAUAAGAGAAAUAUGAGAAAAAGGGGCUUGGAAGCACAGGAGGAAGCAAUUAAUUUUGCUUUGUGAAAUCUGGAAAGACUUCUGGAGUAGGCAAUAUUUGACCCUAGUCUUGAAAGUUUUACACAAAUUAGUAGAAAGGCGUGGCAGACACAAGAAAUUCCUUAUGCAAGGAACACAGGAAAGUUGCUACUAGGUAAUAGUUUCGGGUGGCUUCAUGUACACAAGAAAUGGAAUGUGUUGUGGGAACUGAAGCUGUUAAAGUUGUCCUACCAUGCUGUAGAGUUAGUACUUUAUAGGAACAAUGGUCUAUAGCAGCACCAUCCAAAAAACUCUGUGAUGAUGGAAAUGUUCUUUGUGCUGUCAAAUACAGUAGUAUCCAGUAGCCACAAGCCACAUGUGGCUACUGAGUUGCUGAAAUGUGACUAGUGUGUCUUAGAAACUGAUUUUUGAGUUUUAUUUAAUUUUAAUUUAUUUAAAUAUGCACAUUUGUGUUUUAAUCAUGUUUUUUAUUUUCUAUAUUUUAUGACUGACAUCUUGGGGGACCUUGCUAGCCACGGAGAACCUGUCCCUUGCUGGACUACCUAAUUCCCUGAGAUCAUCAAAAACUUGCCUAAAGAGCAAGUUUUAUAGGCAAGUUUAUAGGCAAAUCAACCAAUCCUAAGCCUAUAUACCUCAACUACCUUAUCUAGCUCAUUCACCAACCAGGAUUUCCCUAGCCGUAAAUCACCCCGGGCCAGGUGUGAAACAACUAGGGACCACCUCUGUAGCCUGGAGUACACAAAUUUUUCAAGCUAUCCAAUUCUAAACUCUACCUUGCCUUACCUUGCCAUUUCCUGGAAAACAGGCUUGUGCUCACAUUUUCUUCUCACCCUCCUCCUGAUCAACCCUGGUAUUUCCCCACGUGGUCUUGCGUGGCAUGGUGUGUCCCCUUCUCUUAGAAACUGUAAUACACUUUUCUUUCAAGGCCGUUGUCUCUGCGUCUGUCAUCUUACUCUAUUUGAUUAAAACCUGGGUACAAUCAAAACAGUGUGGCUAGUGGCUACUAUAUUGGGUAGCACAGAACUAACUAUACUCCCCCACACCUAAAAUAGUUAUCAUUUCCAGAACCAUAAUUCAUUCAGAGGAUCUAUUUGGAGUGUUUUCACUUUGGUUAUGAGACUAGAAUAGUCACCAUAACAGGUAAAAUCCUUAUCCUUACAGAGCUUCAUUCUGAUGACUGAAAGAUUAUAUCCCACCAAUGUCUAUCAUAUUAGCAUUGUUGAAUUUCAAAUAUUUUUUCAAAGGAGUUGCUACUAAUCUCCAUAAUCUCUUAUCAAAUGCUAACAUUUAUUUUAUAUUUUUUCUGUGCCAGGCACUUUUAUAGGUGCUACAUAUAUAUAAAUGGGUUGUUUCAUCUAGAGCUCACCUUUGGUAUGGUGUUGUAUCACAAAGGGUUUCAUUUUGGAAGAGUUGGUAGUAAGCCAAUCUUUCAAUAGUUGAACAGUAAGAACUAUUAUGUCAGGAGAGCAGUUACUAAGAGAAGAAUAUAAAAUUUUGAAUCUCUUGGAUUUGAUCCAUGGUGAUUGAGAAUAAGCUUUGGACUUACUGUCCUGGACUAUACCUGAUUAAGCUACAGUUUACCCACAUGAAAAAUGCAAAUAAUAAAUACAGUUGUUUAAGCUAACACAGUGUUAAAUGAGAUAAUACAGUUGCACUCUUAGCAUAGUCUUUUCAUUAUCAUUAACAUUUAUUAGUAUAUCUUACCAUUUAAUAUUCAGGUUUUCUUUUUCUCAACUAAGCUAUUUGUACAUAGUGCUUAGCAAGGUAUCAAGGAAGCCCUCAGUGAAGAAUGCCAAAUGGUCACUCUUUAAGGACAGAAAGUAUUCCCAGCAGAGCCCAGCCGAGGCAGGACACUAGUUAGCAUUUGAUAAAUACAUGCAGAAAUGUUUACCUUGGUUUCCUGGUGUGUUUGUCUCCGCAGGCAAAGGGACCAUUUCAUUUAUAUCAGUUAUGUUCCCUAUCCCCCAAGACAGCGAUGAAUACUAAAGAAAGCAUUUAAUGAACACAUAUGGAAUCAGAUGGAUCUAAUAAUGAGAACAUUUAGUAUAUGAAAAUUUCAAUUCUUUAAAAUAAUAGCUUUUAUACAUUAUUUAGGUGUUUCUUUAGGAAUGACUAUGUUUUACAAAUGUUGUAAAUUAAAUCACUGAGGUUGUGUUCUGUCUGAAAUUAUAAUUCCAUGGUAAAAUAUACAGAUAUUCUGUUGUAUGAUUUUAGACAUUGAAAUAUUUUCUAAAUCUAUAAAAUAUGUCACACAUUGAAUUUUGUUUAUAAUUAUGGUUAUCAUAAUUCCUGAAAUAAAAAUGAAGAUAAACAUAAAUAUACUUAGGAUAAUAGGAGAGGAUAUUUGAUAAAGGACCUAUUUCUGAAAAUUUUGUUUUCCAUUUCACGAGUCUUGCUAGCCCACAAAUGAAACCAAAUGUUUUGAUUGUGUUACUUAUUCAUGGUUUUACAGAUGAAUAGUUAAGAAGUUAAAAUGAGAAGAAUAGAUAAAGAAUAAUCUCAAGGAUGAGACAUGCUAUUUGAGUUCUAUUACAAGACCACUGCAGACUAACAAAUCUA